rnacentral:tRNA from 1 species
GGGGUUGUGGCUCAGUGGUAGAGUGUUCGCCUAGUGUGUGUGAGGGCCUGGGUUUGAUCCUCAGCACCACA